AUCUACGCUUCUUCCUGAAAGAAUUGUGGGGACUUAUUUAGCUGUCGACUGGUGCCAACUUCCACUGCACAACUAAUUCUUUAAAGCCAUACCUACAACGGUGAUGCCCUGAGAUAACAUUGCCUAAGAAAGCUGUGUUCAUCUUACUUCGUACAAGCAUCUCCAUGAGGUUUGAACAACACAAUGUCAGCCUUUCUGCCUCAGCCUCCCAGAGCUUGUAUUGUAGGUGUGAGCUACCACCUGGCUUCUGGUCCUAUUUUUAAAGACAUCUUAGAGACUAAAACGUCGUUAAGUUUUCAUAGUGCGUUCCCAGCUUCAUCUCUGCCUUUGGGCAUGUGAGAAGGCCUGGCAUAGUGUGAGGUGCAUGUAAAUGAUUUCGUCCUGCCUGCUGGACAAGAAGCUAUGGGGUUACCCGGGCCCUCUUCCUGGGCGGUGUUGGCAGCUAGCAAUGAAGCAGUUAUGUUCCUUCUAUAGUGGAGUGUACUCUGGGGGCGGGCGUCUGCUUCUCUAAAUCUUCACUCUAUUGUUCACCUACAGCAGUGGUUCUCAACCUUUGCAAAGCUGUGACCUCUUAAUACGGUUCCUCAUGUUGUGGUGACCCCACCCCACAACCAUAAAAUUAUUUUCAUUGC
rnacentral:lncRNA from 1 species